GGGUAGGUCGCAUAGUGGCAAUUGCAGCGGACUGUAAAUCCGCCGACUUCGGUCUACGUCAGUUCGAGUCUGACUCUGCCCA
rnacentral:tRNA from 1 species